rnacentral:rRNA from 1 species
GAUGAACGUUGGCGGCGUGCCUAAUACAUGCAAGUCGAACGAAGACUGUAGUAAUACUGUCUUAGUGGCGAACGGGUGAGUAACGCGUGGGUGACCUGCCCCGAAGUGUGGGAUAACAGUCCGAAAGGAUUGCUAAUACUGCAUAAUAUCCAAGAGAUUAGAUGCUUUUGGAUUAAAGGAGUAAUUCGCUUCGGGAGGGGCCCGCGUCCCAUCAGCUAGUUGGUAAGGUAAUGGCUUACCAAGGCGAUGACGGGUAGGGGACCUGAGAGGGUGGCCCCCCACAAUGGAACUGAAACACGGUCCAUACACCUACGGGUGGCAGCAGUAGGGAAUAUUAGUAAUGGGCGAAAGCCUGAACUAGCAACGCCGCGUGUGCGAAGAAGGCCUUGGGUCGUAAAGCACUUUUGUAGAGGAUGAGGAAGGACGGUACGUCUCAGAAUAAGUCUCGGCUAACUACGUG